rnacentral:lncRNA from 13 species
CUCUCCCCUUUUCUGAUCUCUCCCUCCAUCUCUCCCCCUUUCUGAUCUUUCUCUGCUAUCUCCACCUCUGUUUAACCAUGUCUGGUGUAUAUUAGUUGGUAACAUGUUAGUAUAUGGGGCCUACACAAGGAAAACCUGACUCAUCCAUCAGCAUCUUCAUAAGCAUUACUGGGGAUGUAACUGCAGUGGGGGUGUUCAGGAGGGCAGCGCCCGGGUGGUGUUCAGGAGGGCAGCGCCCGGGUGGUGUUCAGGAGGGCAGCGCCCGGGUGGUGUUCAGGAGAGUUCGGAAGAGCUCAUUUUGGUCAUGAUGUAACUUUGACGGGUAAUCAAACCUCGGGAUGAAAUCAUUAAGGACCCGUCCGGACUUGUUCUUUGUGAGGUAAGCCUGAGCGAACCUUGUAAAAUGAUCUACCACUACUAGGAUAUACUCAUAGCCACCUCGGCUGGUUUCCAGUUGCAGGUAAUCAAUACAGACAAGCUCUCGGGGAAAGCUGGACUUGAUGCUUCACAGCUUGGAUGUGGGUAACUGGUUUAUUUUUGCUUUAUACAAGGACAUCUCGUGACAUAUUCCUGUAUCUUUAUUCUCGUAAAUGGCCAGUAAAAUAAUUCCCUCGCGAGGUUGAGCACUCGUUCUAUAGCAAACGUCAUCCUGUAGAUGCUUCUGUUCCUUAACAGGGAGAACAAGCUGUUAUUUUUCACCUGUCCUUCAAUACAGUAAUCCAUCUUCCAAGUGAAGUUUACUCAUGUAGUAAUUUCCUUGUAAACCCGUUCGCUGUUCCUAGUGUGUCAUUGUCAAGUGUCCUGCUGUCUACUU